AGGCGGUUUGUCGCGUCUGGUGUGAAAACUCAAGGCUCAACCUUGAGCUUGCAUCGGGUACGGGCAGACUAGAGUGCGGUAGGGGUGACUGGAAUUCCUGGUGUAGCGGUGGAAUGCGCAGAUAUCAGGAGGAACACCGAUGGCGAAGGCAGGUCACUGGGCCGCAACUGACGCUGAGGAGCGAAAGCAUGGGUAGCGAACAGGAUUAGAUACCCUGGUAGUCCAUGCCGUAAACGUUGGGCACUAGGUGUGGGGCUCAUUCCACGAGUUCCGUGCCGCAGCUAACGCAUUAAGUGCCCCGCCUGGGGAGUACGGCCGCAAGGCUAAAACUCAAAGGAAUUGACGGGGGCCCGCACAAGCGGCGGAGCAUGCGGAUUAAUUCGAUGCAACGCGAAGAACCUUACCAAGGCUUGACAUACACCGGAAUCGGCCAGAGAUGGUCGCGUCUUCGGACUGGUGUACAGGUGGUGCAUGGUUGUCGUCAGCUCGUGUCGUGAGAUGUUGGGUUAAGUCCCGCAACGAGCGCAACCCUCGUCCUAUGUUGCCAGCACGUUAUGGUGGGGACUCAUAGGAGACUGCCGGGGUCAACUCGGAGGAAGGUGGGGAUGACGUCAAAUCAUCAUGCCCCUUAUGUCUUGGGCUUCACGCAUGCUACAAUGGCCGGUACAAAGGGCUGCGAUACCGCGAGGUGGAGCGAAUCCCAAAAAGCCGGUCUCAGUUCGGAUUGGGGUCUGCAACUCGACCCCAUGAAGUCGGA
rnacentral:rRNA from 1 species